rnacentral:misc_RNA from 1 species
UUUCCGUAGGUGAACCUGCGGAAGGAUCAUUAUUGUAUAACCGAGGUGCGAGGGCUGUCGCUGACCCGAAAGGUCGUGCACGCCCGAGUGCCCUCACACACAUCCAUCUCACCCCUAUGUGCACCACCGCGUGGGUCCCCCUUUGGCUUGUUCGGAGGGGGGCUUACGUUUUCACACAAACACUGUAUGCAGUGUAGAAUGUAUUUUUUGUUUUUGCGAUCACGCAAUCAAUACGACUUUCAACAACGGAUCUCUUGGCUCUC